GGGGAAUAUUGCGCAAUGGGGGAAACCCUGACGCAGCAACGCCGCGUGCGGGAUGAAGGCCUUCGGGUUGUAAAGCCCUUUUGUUGGGAAAGAAAAGCAGCCGGCCAAUACCCGGUUGUUCUGACGGUACCCAAAGAAUAAGCACCGGCUAACUUCGUGCCAGCAGCCGCGGUAAUACGAAGGGUGCAAGCGUUACUCGGAAUUACUGGACGUAAAGCGUGCGUAGGUGGUGGUUUAAGUCCGUUGUGAAAGCCCUGGGCUCAACCUGGGAACUGCAGUGGAUACUGGAUCACUAGAGUGUGGCAGAGGGUAGUGGAAUUCCCGGUGUAGCAGUGAAAUGCGUAGAGAUCGGGAGGAACAUCAGUGGCGAAGGCGACUGCCUGGGCCAACACUGACACUGAGGCACGAAAGCGUGGGGAGCAAACA
rnacentral:rRNA from 1 species